rnacentral:rRNA from 1 species
CGGUAAUACGUAGGGUGCGAGCGUUAAUCGGAAUUACUGGGCGUAAAGCGUGCGCAGGCGGCUUUGCAAGACAGAUGUGAAAUCCCCGGGCUCAACCUGGGAACUGCAUUUGUGACUGCAAGGCUAGAGUACGGCAGAGGGGGAUGGAAUUCCGCGUGUAGCAGUGAAAUGCGUAGAUAUGCGGAGGAACACCGAUGGCGAAGGCAAUCCCCUGGGCCUGUACUGACGCUCAUGCACGAAAGCGUGGGGAGCAAACAGGAUUAGAUACCCUGGUAGUCCACGCCCUAAACGAUGUCAACUGGUUGUUGGACGGCUUGCUGUUCAGUAACGAAGCUAACGCGUGAAGUUGACCGCCUGGGGAGUACGGCCGCAAGGUUGAAACUCAAAGGAAAUUGACGG